GACGACUCUCGGCAACGGAUAUCUAGGCUCUCGCAUCGAUGAAGAACGUAGCGAAAUGCGAUACUUGGUGUGAAUUGCAGAAUCCCGUGAACCAUCGAGUCUUUGAACGCAAGUUGCGCCCGAGGCCAUUCGGCCGAGGGCACGUCUGCCUGGGCGUCGCGC
rnacentral:rRNA from 1 species